UACGUAGGUGACCAGCGUUGUCCGGAUUUACUGGGCGUAAAGAGCGCGCAGGCGGUCGUUCAAGUCGAGUGUGAAAGCCCCCGGCUCAACUGGGGAGGGUCACUUGAUACUGAUCGACUCGAAGGCAGGAGAGGGAAGCGGAAUUCCCGGUGUAGUGGUGAAAUGCGUAGAUAUCGGGAGGAACACCAGUGGCGAAGGCGGUUACCUGGAGCUUUGCUGACGCUGAUGCGCGAAAGCGUGGGGAGCGAUCCGG
rnacentral:rRNA from 1 species